AAAGAGACUCAUAUUUAAGCGAAAGAGAAACAGCAAGGGACCUCUUUUCCCCUCGGCUCCUGCUUCAGCGGCACGAUGUAUUCACCAGCUAGAAGGGAUGCCAAUAAGGCGUCCGAUAAGAUAAGUUUUAUAGAAUAUAUAGAUGUAAGAUAAUUGAGACUGAGCUAACAGAUGAGAAUCCUAGUCAUUGGCCACGCAUCAUUGUAACUAAUACAAGUCUCUCUGUGUAUUCAUUUGUGCCUAACUCGGGCAGGCGGCUGUUGUAAAGCUCACACGUGGCAAUGGGUCUCAGGCAGCUUUUGGUGGAAAGAUUUAUCAUAACAGAUGUGGUCAAGCAUGGUGCAUUGUAGGGCACAUCUUGAAUCAGCAUCACAUAAUUCUCAGGCAUCUUUGCUUUGGAAAAGUUGACAAAGGCACUAUUGUAUUAUGAGGAGGAGACAGUCAAAGGGACACUCAGAUUGAAUAUUUCUGAGUAAGUCCCUAGGCUGAUCUUUUCUAUCAUCUUAGCCCCAAGGCAGCUUCCUGCUCCUCCAGGGUUUCUGACACACUCAGGAUGUGGUUGCAACACUGUGUUGUCUGGCACAGUAAUAGACUGCAGAGUCCUCAGAUGUCAGGCUGUUGGGCUCCAUGUAGGCUGUGCUGGAGGAUGUGUCUACCGUCAAUGUGGCCUUGUGUUGGAAAUUCUGAUUGUAGCCAGUACCACUAUUUCCAGGGUCAAUCCAUCCAAUCCACUCCAGACCCUGUCUAGGCUUCUGUUUCACCCAGCUCAUGUAGUGGCUGUUGAAGGUGUAGCCUGAAGCCUUGCAGGACAGCUUCACUGAGGCUCCAGGCUUCACCAGCUCAGCAGAGGACUGAUGAAGGAGGAUUUGGCAGUGGACACCUGUGGAGAGAAAGGCAGAGUGGAUGUCACUGUCACCUGAGAACAUGGCCCCUCCUCAAGCCUGGAACUUGGAGCCCUCACCUGUAGCUGCUGUCACCAGGAAGAGGAUGAUCCAGCUCCAUCCCAUGCUUCUGUCUUGCAGUGUUCCCUCCAUCCUGGCCUGGUUAAAAUUCACUUCUCACUGACAAUAAUCAGGAGACUCUGCCUUGAUUCCUGAAACCUGCUAUCCUUAACCCUGAACCAACACCAACCAUCAACUUCUCCCAGUGAUCUUCUCUAACUCACAGGUAAACACUGCAGCUUCCCUACACUCAGCUGAGUCACAGUGCUCACAGCAGUGAGCAUGCAGACAACAUUAACAUGAAAACAGCAGAAAACAGAAAACUGAGAUAAGGAACUGUGUUGCCAAUGGAAGGAAGAUAGAACAGAGACCUGAGAUGACAUCACCUGGCUGGUGCCCAGUGUCACUUAGACUUUCCACAAGAUGGGGAACAAGAAACACCUGCAAAGGAGUCAUUACAUGGGACUUGGGUUUAAAUUAAUCCAUACAAGGAUAUAAAUUUCCAGCGUGCAUUGUGUAAAAAUGUGAAUUAUCUGUACUCCAUUAGAGCACUACCACAUGGGAAGCUGGAAAAAGUACACAUCCUGUUUCCCGUCUACCUGUGGUAAUAGAAUUCACUCAUGGAAGCUCUCCAUUCCAUGCCUCAUGAUAGGAAACACAUACAGAGUUCUUUAGAUUAUUUAAAUUUCCCUGUGAUUUCCUGAACUUAUCAUCACCAAGUCUGAAAGUUAGAGACCUGAGAGGAAAAACAUGGAGAGUUUUGUUUUAUGUGUAUUUGACCUAACAGCAAGUGGCAGAUGGGUAUCUUAGUUGCUCCAUGGGGUCAUAAUGAUAUGCUUAUUACAAAAUAAGCAAUUAUUAAUUGUCACAAAUAAGUUGUAGCAAAGGGUCCAUAGGAUUUUUAUUACUCAGCAUGUGAAACCACAUAUUCUAAGUUGAAGUUGAAAUAGGCAUGUCUGUCUGGAAACUCACGGGCACACUCAUAUGACAUGAGGACAUCCAGGUGUUUUGAGUAGGCUCAGCAGUUCCUAAAGGGCUAUGCGUUUCUCAAGCUCCUCUGAAGGGUGGUUGU
ensembl:lncRNA